AGAGAGAGACAUGCGCGCAUAUCAAUAAGCGGAGGAAAAGAAACUAACAAGGAUUCCCUUAGUAACGGCGAGUGAAGCGGGAAGAGCUCAAAUUUGAAAUCUUCAAGGUUCUACCUUGACGAAUUGUAGUCUAUAGAAGUGUUUUCUGUUAGUGGAGUGGCAAAAGUUCUUUGGAAUAGGACAUCAUAGAGGGUGAGAAUCCCGUAUUUGGUCAUUCCUCCUAGCGUUGUGAUACACUUUCAACGAGUCGGAUUGUUUGGGAAUGCAGUCCAAAAUGGGUGGUAAAUUUCAUCUCAAGCUAAAUAUUGGCGAGAGACCGAUAGCGAACAAGUACCGUGAGGGAAAGAUGAAAAGAACUUUGAAAAGAGAGUUAAACAGUACGUGAAAUUGUCAAAAGGGAAGCGUUUGACACCAGUGUUGUUUUUUCCGAAAAUCAAUUACGAAUGUUUUGUUUUUGAGGAGUUAUGACUUCAUCGGCUUGCUUCUUUCUUUACGAAACUUUCUUAAUGCACUUUUCGGUUAACAAGUCAACAUCAAUUUCUUUUGUUGUAAAAGGGUAUGAGGAAGGUGGCUUUCUUUUCGGAGAAAGUGUUUAUAGCCUUGUAGCCUCUGCAAUCGGAGAGAUUGAGGUCUGCAGCGUAGAUCCUUCGGGGUUAGAUACAUCUGUGCUAAGUUAUAGCUUUUCAUAGACAACUUGUUGACUAUGUUUAGUCUUGUAGCUUACUCGCUUAUGCUAUUUUACCUACGCUUAGGAUGUUGAUCUGUAGUGCGUGCGC
rnacentral:rRNA from 1 species